ACGGGGUGUGGGCAGGAAGUUGGUGGUUGCUUUUGGUGAGGGGCCUUGGCUAAUCCACAAGCCACAACAUCACUUGAAGUGCUAAUAUGGGUAAAACACUUUUGAAUUCGCAGAACAGAACUCUCCCAGGCUUUUCUCCCUGCUCCUCUCAUGAAGGUACGAGCACUCACUGGGAUUAAGAACCAAUUCUAUCCUGAAGAUGCUGACUUUCACUAACUGCCAAUGAGAAUCAGGUCAUCGACUUGCCCGAAGGUGCUGACACUCACUGGCAUGAUGCUGACUUUACAGAAGGUGUACCUGAGCAGCACGUGCUAGAUCACAAGGUAACAGCUUUAGAUUUAUAUUUUCCUCUGUGACUCUUGAAGAUGCUGAUUCUCAAUGGAGUUCAGGCCCUCAACUCUCCUGAAGAUGCUACCUGGCUUGCUGAGUGAUUCGGCGUUUUAUUUCGGAUUUAAGCCCCUGCAGUUUAUUUGAUUGUCAAUCUCAGCAAGGGAACUUGCUGUGGGUUUGCAGAUUAAGACUUCUGCUGCCCUGCUGACAUAUCAUGAGCCACGUAUAUGUCCCAUAACUACAGCCAUUCCAAUUCCAUGAAACCACCAAAACAACAUGCUUGGGUUUCACUUCAACCUCUCUAUUGUAAGAAGACUUUUCAUCCUCAAGGUCAAUGUCACAGUUUUCAGAAGUUAGCAGUUGGUCUCCUGGACACCUGCUACAAGCGAAGAAAGUAUGGAGCAUUAAAAAUUAA